AUUGAACGCUGGCGGAAUGCUUUACACAUGCAAGUCGAACGGCGGCACGGACUUCGGUCUGGUGGCGAGUGGCGAACGGGUGAGUAACAUAUCGGAACGUAUCCAAUAAUGGGGGAUAACUAAUCGAAAGGUUGGCUAAUACCGCAUACGCCCUACGGGGGAAAGCAGGGGAUCUUCGGACCUUGCGUUAAUGGAGCGGCUGAUAUCUGAUUAGCUAGUUGGUGAGGUAAAGGCUCACCAAGGCGACGAUCAGUAGCUGGUCUGAGAGGACGACCAGCCACACUGGAACUGAGACACGGUCCAGACUCCUACGGGAGGCAGCAGUGGGGAAUUUUGGACAAUGGGCGCAAGCCUGAUCCAGCCAUUCCGCGUGAGUGAAGAAGGCCUUCGGGUUGUAAAGCUCUUUCGCAAGGGAAGAAAACUUACUUUCUAAUAAAGAGUGAGGUUGACGGUAUCUUGAUAAGAAGCACCGGCUAACUACGUGCCAGCAGCCGCCGUAA
rnacentral:rRNA from 1 species